rnacentral:rRNA from 1 species
CCCUUUGAUGUUCUGGGCCGCACGCGCGCUACACUGACGAAUGCAACGAGCUUAUAACCUUGGCCGAAAGGUCUGGGUAAUCUCCAAAUUUCGUCGUGAUGGGGAUAGAUUAUUGCAAUUAUUAAUCUUCAACGAGGAAUGCCUAGUAAGCGCAAGUCAUCAGCUUGCGUUGAUUACGUCCCUGCCCUUUGUACACACCGCCCGUCGCUCCUACCGAUUGAAUGGUCCGGUGAAGCGUUCGGACCGUGGCCUUUGGACGGUUCGCCGUCUGUUGGCUGCGGGAAGUUCGUUAAACCUUAUCAUUUAGAGGAAGGAGAAGUCGUAACA